GGCCGGUUAGCUCAAUGGCAGAGCAUCCGCCUUUUAAGCGGAGGGUUGGGGGUUCGAGUCCCCCGCCGGCCACCA
rnacentral:tRNA from 1 species